AUAAAAAAUUCAAUCUACGUAAAAAAAAGCAAUUACUUUUUGAAUUAAUCUAUCCUAAACAAAUUGAAUCGAAUAAAACUAAUAAAGCAUAAAAGUAUCAAGUAGUAAACAAAGCAAACAACAAAAAUAGUAGCAAGUAACCAAAAGAGAUAAAAUGAAAGAAAAAAAAUGAAAAUUUGGGAAGAAAGAGAAUAUAUCAGCCUUAUCGAUUGCAUCCCAAAGCUAGAAUACUAUCAUUAUGCUCCACGUCAAUUGCUUGAAAGGGCACUUGUGGUGGAAUGAGGAAUCAUAGUUGGCCCUAAGCGAUCGCUCCUCUCUCUUAUGUUUCUUCCGCCUCCCACCCUUUCUCUUACUCUUCCAAAAUCCAAAUACCACUAGAAUCAUGUAGAGAGAAGAGAUGGUGGUGAAACAUUGUUAUACCACACAACCUUUUAACUCCUUCAGGCAGUGGCGGAGCCAGAUUGCAAAUUUUGGGGUUGCCAGCAAAUUAAAAAAUAGUUUAUAAAUCAAAUAUUCAUACUAUAAUAUAUAUAAAUAUCUAGAUUAAACUUUUGCGCUACAUAAUUAAUUAAAUAAAUUAACAAAAAAUACACUUUAGUUGAGUAUUGUUUAACUAAAGUUCUAUCACAACAUCACAAAGUGCAGAUGCAAAAAUCAUAAAUGAACUCAAUUGUUGAAGUUUUCUUUUGUACACUUAAUAAAGGAAGUAGUAGUAACAUUAAAACCACUAUAACAAUAAAACAUACAUAACAUAACAUAUGAACCAUCAAUGAACAGCUAUAAAACCAUCUUCAAGUUCUGAAAAUUAAAAAGAAAAAAAAAUUGUAAAGCACAACCAUGAACCAUAUUGAGUGUUUGAGGUCAAAUCUUACUUGUAUCAAACAAUAAAAUAGAAAUAACAACCAUCUUAAAGCAUGCUUGCAGCAAACAAAUCAAAUGCUUAAGUUAUAAUUUUGUAUACGAAAAUUCUAGGGUUAAAUCUUACUCGAGAGGAAGCAGGCGGUGGAAAUGGUGUGAUUCAGCGGUGUAGGUGUAGGUGGUUGUUGCAGGAUUCGACGGCAGUGUGGGUGGCAAUGGAAAACCGAAGAAGUGUUGUGUGCUAAGCACGGGCGAGUGAGAGAGGUGAGUGGAAAUAAGAGAUUAUGAACUUGGAUUGAAAUGGAGAAUGAGAG
rnacentral:lncRNA from 1 species